rnacentral:misc_RNA from 1 species
AAGUCGUAACAAGGUUUCCGUAGGUGAACCUGCGGAAGGAUCAUUACCAAAAUAUUUAUACAUUAACCCAUGUGCACUGUGAUUCAUGUCUUGGUUCUUGGGGUGUUCCUCUCACGAGGAACACCCCAACCAUUUUGUUAAACAACUGUUUACAUACAAUCAUGGCAUCGUAUUUGUCUUAAAAUGAUACGACAACUUUUAACGGUGGAUCUCUUGGCUCGU